UUACGGCCAUAUCACAUUGAAACUUCAUUUCCCGUACGAUCACGGAAGUUAAGCAACGUCGAGCCUGUUCUGUACCUAAAUGGAUGACCGCUUGGGAAUAUCGGGUGCUGUAA